rnacentral:rRNA from 1 species
ACUUACAUACAUUCCAUCUUGUGGUGUGCAUGAUGCUGUCAGACCUCACAAGCUAAGAAAGAGCAAACCUGGAUAUAUGUGGAUGGGAGACCUACAAGGACACCUGGAGUAGGUG